CCCUUAGAUGGCCUGGGCUGCACGCGGGCUACAAUGGUAUAUUCAGCGUGAGUUGUUUACCGAAAGGUAGAUCAAAUCUUCAAAUUAUACCGUACUUGGGAUUGGACAUUGCAAUUGUUGUCCAUGAACGAGGAAUUCCUAGUAAGUGCAUGUCAUUAGCGUGCGCUGAUUACGUCCCUGCCCUUUGUACACACCGCCCGUCGCUCCUACCGAUUGGGUGCUGGGGUGAACAUUGUGGAGAUUUGGGCUUCGGCUUGGUCAAAGCAAUGUGAAUCUUGCCGCCUAGAGGAAGGAGAAGUCGUAACA
rnacentral:rRNA from 1 species